rnacentral:rRNA from 1 species
UACGAAGGGGGCUAGCGUUGUUCGGAAUUACUGGGCGUAAAGCGCGCGCAGGCGGUCUUCCAAGUCAGUGGUGAAAGCCCGGAGCUCAACUCCGGAAUUGCCAUUGAAACUGUUGGACUUGAGGAUGAGAGAGGUGAGUGGAAUUCCCAGUGUAGAGGUGAAAUUCGUAGAUAUUGGGAAGAACACCGGUGGCGAAGGCAGCCCCCUGGGCUAACACUAACGCUCAGGCACGAAAGCGUGGGGAGCAAACAGG